GUAGAACAGAGUGUUCUCCGUUCCCUUUCAUUACCCCUUCCACCUUCCUUUUUGCUCUUUCUGAGCUGCGCUACAAGCCUAAAAAAUCAUGACAUAUUAACUCGUCCAAAUUGCUACGCUUCUGUACCUACAUGUUUUAGGGCAACAAUAAAUGGAAAACCAGAGAAAACCAGUGAAGACUGUGCACCCAUAAGCCUGUGAAUGUUUUUCAAGAUGCCAGCCACUGGAAAAUUGUUUUUGACCAUGAAUUGCUUGAAAGCACAACCUUGUGUAUACAUGCACACCCUUCCAGACCUUCUAAGAAACAGGGAAACAGUGGUUGUUAACACAUUCCACGUGUCCUGUUACCGCUGCUUCAUGCUGCUCUCAGGCGCCUUUGUCAGAUGCCAAACUUGAAAGGUUACCACAAGUGCAAUUGAGGAAACAAGAAAAAGAAAGGAGCAAUAAGCAAGGAAUUGCUAUUGGCACCUUUCCAGCUAAGACUAACCAGUGAGUUUGGGGGGAAAGAAGAAAGUAAAUAUUGCACUCUUGCACACUGCACUGCAUUUCAUAUCUCCAUUCAUACUCGGUUUCUUAAAUAUUUCUUUGGGAAUGUAUUUCUUGAAAAACAUUGCACUCGUUCGAGCGUGAUUCUCAUGAGAAAAUUUGUUUCAGAGGCCAUUUAAAUUACUUCACAAAAGCUGCCCAAUUUCCAUGGAAGGCAGAAAUGAUAUUUCCAGCAUGAAAAUCAAAAUGAAUUAGUUUCAGUUUUGUGACAAAGGGAAUGCCUUUGUGGGACAUCAAACACAGCAGUUAGGUGUGGAUGGGUUAACAUCCUUUGUGGAGCUUGAGAAAUUGCAAAAGUUUAAGCAAGUGUUAAUUUCAGAGAAGUUGAAAAGGGUCACAAGUUAAUUACAUUUUUUUUUUAUUCCGAAUGCAGAUGAGCCUUAUUAAUGAAGUUGCAUAUGAUUCUAAAAUAUGUUUUUAUACAAUAUUCAUUAAAAGCACACCAUGAUACCAAUAAACAAAAAUCCACGAUCAAGUCUACGUAAAAGCAGCACAAGCAUGAUGCCAUGUAUUGAAAGCCAUUGACAGGCUGGAAAAAGCAUCACGUAUGCACUUGCCAAGGGUGGCGAGAUGCGAAUGUGUAAGGUUGGCAUGUUGGCUGGCCAAAUACAGGCAAGCAAAGACAAGCUAACACUCUGACGAAAAACACAUGUGCACAUCCAAGGGCAGUAUUUUCAGUUGAUCACAAGGGGUAUCACUUUCAGUGUUUGCUGAUAAGCUAAGCCAGUCUAAAGGGUGCCGGCUUCUGUACUGUAUCACUGUGCUGGACAGCAUAAGUGAAAGUAUCCUUGAAAGUGAUUGACCAAGACUGUGGCCUCGGAAUAAACAAUUUUGCAAUUCAGAUGACUCAAACCAUUGUGAACUGCUUUUUUUUUCUUUUUUUUUUGAAGACUCAAAACUUUUUUCUACCAGGAUACAUAUUAUGAGCUGUGCAUGAACAAAUAUUCAUAUUGUUGUAGCCAAUAUUGCAUCAGAUCUUGCAUUUUUGGUUUUGCUAUAGCUGCAGAAAACCAACUGAUAUGAACCAUGGCCAGCAAAAUUUCAAAUUUAACAAGAAAAGACUGUCAAGGCUUGUUGGUUUUUAAAUUUACUGUACUUCCUGGUACCUGAUAAUUCGUACCUGGUACGAAUGGUACCUGAUUGUUAUACUGAGGUCCAACUUUAUUGUAAUAUGUACUUGCUGCACAAGUGUUUCACAUACAAGUAUGCAAGAUAAACAAAUCAUUCCUGAGCAGGAUGUGACACCAAGACAAUUUUACAGUAAACAUUGAUAGGACUCAUAUGUUAAGAAAGCAUAUUGCUUCUUUCCGAGCCUCUUGGUGCCUUGCACAUUGAAGGCUGCUUUUAGUGUAUAUUAAGUUGAUAUAAAGCAGCUAGUAAUAUCACUGGACAAUUCCAGGUGCUGUUACUGAUGAGGAGCAUGAGUGUCACUGCACUGUUGCUCUCACGGAUUGGUCUGUUUAUGCAUGUCAUGUCUUGAGAUGAUCUCUGGCUGAGCUGAAGCAACUUUAUGGUUGCUCAACCAAGCUGAAUUAAAGUGCAAUGCUAAAGUUUAUUCUUCUGGGCAAAAAACAAUUAUGCAGCUAUACUAGACUUCAAUUUCUCUAUAAGUGAUAUUACCUGGAAUCAAAUCACCAUAACAGAAUAGACAUACUAGUCUAACAUAUUUAUAUUUGUUCUGAUAGUGUGUGCAUGUGAAUACGCUUGUCACACCAUUUGGCCUAAUAAAUAAACAAAAUAAAUUUCUUGCACAAUGCAAAUAAAGCCAAACCUGUGCAAGUCGCUUUUACAAAUCAAACCUUGGCCAAUGUCCAAAAAAUUUAAACAUCACAUCGAAAUACAGUCAAGUUCACACUUUUCUAAAGCUAGCUCCAACAAGUGCAGGUGCUCCAGCAAUCUUUGAGUGCAUGCACACCCUGUAGUACAGUUGUUGGCAUGCUCAUUCAGAGUGUAGAAACAGCAUGUCUCGGGCUGCACAUUCAACAUCUACCAAUAACAUCUAGUUUGCAUUUGAGCACACAUGGCCACUGUGAUGCGACUGCAUUCACCUUUUUGCCUUACCAGUCGCUAUGGCUUCCGCUGCUGUGACUGUCUGCAAUGGCCAAUGAUAGCACAGUGGCGCUGGGGUACAAAAGUGCAGAUAAUUUCAGAUGUGCAAAUACGUAUUUGAAAUUUUGGAUAUGAACCGUAUUUGAUUCGAGAAUUCACUAUUAAAAUGAAAUUAAAUUGUGGAGUUUUCCGUGCCAAACCACAAUCUGAUUAUGAGGCUGUAGAGGGGGACUCCGGAUUAAUUUUUACCACCUGGGGUUUUUUAAUGUGCACCCAACGCAUGGUACAUGGGCGUUUUUGCAUUUCGCCCCCACUGAAAUGGCCAGGAUCUGAUUCUGCGACCACAUGCUCAGCAGCGAAACGCCGUAGCCACUAAGAAACCACGACGGGUGAGAAUUCACUAUUUGAAGUUAUUGAAUAUUUGUUAUGCUUGAAUAUUACAAAGGGCAACAAUAGUUGUUGCAGUCUACAGGGAAAAAGACAGAUGCUAGUGGAGGUUCUUCCAAAUGAUUCUGCUGUAGGAGAAAACACAGUAGUCGCACAGAUGAACAAGUUCCUGAGCAAACACAUAGAGAUCACUUCUGAACAAUUGUUAAAUGGGCAGUCGUUGAAUAAGCAUGCCGUACCUUACAUGCAGCCUACGAAUUAGCCGACUAGAUUUAAGCAAAAAUUUAUUACUUUCAACUCCCCAUGUAUAGCUUCCUUUAAAGUGGUGUGGUACUGUAGUAUUGCACUUAACUCCCUUCAAUUAGCACUGCACUCUACUACAUGCACCUGGUGACGUGCUGUUCCUUUGUUUCAUUAGGGUCAUUGUUGUGGUGCACCAUAUACCAUCAUGUUUCCUUUGUUUCUCAUUUACAAGCUUCUCAGUUCAUGUGACACACAGUUAUGUAUUAACAGCAUCAAAUGCACCAUAGUAAAUAAGAAUUUUGUUGCCAUACAGACUCCACAGAACCUUUAUAUUUAACUUUGUUUAGAAAUUGUAAUUUUUUUACAUUUGAUUCAAUAUUUGAAGCGAAUUUUUCUCAGCUUUUCAUAUUUGAUUCAAUUAGAAAAUGUUGAUAUUCAAACACUCCAAGAGAUAACACUUCAUGGCGUGUGCUGCCCAAAAAUUUUUGUACACGUUACUUUGACAUGGAACAUUCACUUUCAUUAACAUUUUGACAACCUACUGCUCUGCAUGCACUGCACGCUUGCUUUUGGCACAGAGCUUGAUCAUUUAUCACUACCACUGAUGGCAAGAUCUUAAGUGCUGUUGUCACCUAGUGUGUUGCAAACUGACACAAUCAAAUAAGGUGAAAAUUUUCAGGGAAACAACGAGUGCGAUCAUUGCGAUGAACUUCAUGUUUAGAAAUGUGCUCACAGAAUGUAUGCAAGAUUAAGAGUACCUACUGCUGAGAAGAGUUUUCUCUGCUUUUGUUCUACAGUUCUGUAGCGACUUCAUUGGCAAUUGAAGCAACAGCAACAGGCAAGGCACAAAAAUUGAAGCUAGUCCCAUCGUGUGGUGCAACAUCCUCAGGUGCAAGCUAUCCUUAUAUCAGUAGACACCACCUGUGCAGCCCAAAGCACGUCAUUCAAGCACUCUAUACAAGCUUGCUGACCAUCAAGAAAAAAAGACGAUCCACAUUUAUUUUCUUUCUAAUGAAGCAGGUCGCAUGUUAUUCAUGCUGUACAAGGUUUGCAGUAUUGAAUAAACAAAAAUAUAUGCUAGUCAA